ensembl:lincRNA
AACGGCUCACUGCAACCUCCGCCUUCUGGGUUCAAGUGAUUCUCCUGCCUCAGCCUCCCGAGUAGGUGGGAUUGUAGGCAUUUGUCACCGCGCGGGCUGUGUUAGGAAUUUUCUUGUUUUACAUAGUUAAAUGAAGGAGAUAAGAGUACUUUAUUAAUAGUUCUCAGUAAACAGUAUACACUACUUAAUCUGUUACUCAGAUUCUAGUGUGUUGUGAUUUUGUUUUUGUUUUUCAAUAGGCAGGGAAACAUGAAGCCAUUGUGAAGAACGUACAUGAUCUCCUGGCAAAAUUGGCAUGGGAUUUUUCUCCUGAACAACUUGAUCAUCUUUUUGAUUGUUUUAAGGCCAGUUGGACAAAUGCGAGUAAAAAGCAACGUGAAAAGCUACUUGAGCUGAUACGUCGUCUUGCAGAAGAUGAUAAAGAUGGUGUGAUGGCACACAAAGUGUUGAACCUUCUGUGGAAUCUGGCUCACAGUGAUGAUGUGCCUGUAGAUAUCAUGGACCUGGCUCUCAGUGCCCACAUAAAAAUACUAGAUUACAGUUGCUCCCAGGUACGAGUGUACAGCUUUACUCACUUUUGUCACCUUUCCCCUUCCCCCUUCAGUUAGGAUGGCUUAGUUA